rnacentral:misc_RNA from 1 species
GAGAGCCAAGAGAUCCGUUGGGAGGAGAUUUAGUAAUCUGUGUUUGUGUAUGUGUAUUAGCCUAGAAGUUAUACUCAGUGUGUAAGUGCGCUCCGGCUAGCGCCGAAGCUUCUUUAUGAUCCUU